AGCAGCCGCGGUAAUUCCAGCUCCAAUAGCGUAUAUUAAAGUUGUUGCAGUUAAAAAGCUCGUAGUUGAAUUUCGGGAUCAAGGAAUCGGUCAUGCCUCGGUAUGUACUGGUUUUAUUGGUUCUCACCUUCUAAAAAACCAUAAUGUCAUUUAUUUGAUGUUAUGGGGAAUUAGGACUGUUACCUUGAAAAAAUUAGAGUGUUUAAAGCAAGCUUACGCUUGAAUACAUUAGCAUGGAAUAAUGAAAUAGGACAUCCGAUUCUAUUUUGUUGGUUUCUAGGAUCGAUGUAAUGAUUAAUAGGGAUAGUUGGGGGCAUUAGUAUUCAAUUGUCAGAGGUGAAAUUCUUGGAUUUAUUGAAGACUAACUACUGCGAAAGCAUUUGCCAAGGAUGUUUUCAUUAGUCAAGAACGAAAGUUAGGGGAUCGAAGACGAUCAGAUACCGUCGUAGU
rnacentral:rRNA from 1 species